AAAAAAAAAGCAGCGAAAUCAACGUGCCGCGGCCGGCCUCUAGAGAGGGAGAGGGGCCAGAGCACGGGACAACGGCUUCCCUCUGCGUCCUGAACCCCGCCAGAGGGACGUGCAGGCUGUGCUCUAGGAGAAUGUGAUCUGCCAAAACCGGCUCAGACGAGAGGGAAGGUCUACGCAGACCAGUCACUGUAGAAUGAACAGGAAAGGGUGUGUAGAGCUUUCCCCACCACCCUCAGGGAGGGCAGGCCUGGGAUCUCCGUGGUGUCACAGAGAUGUCCCGGGGCUGAGGAAAUGAGGGCCCCAUGCAAGAUGCCAGGUAGAUGUCACCCCACCUAGCCUGCAGAUCCAGGCGGAGGUGCAGGAGGGAACAAGAAUGAGGUUUUCAGGCCAGGAGUGAGGGAGCGAAGUGGCCACAGAAAAGGGCAGUGAAAGAGCUGGUGGGGGAGUGGAGGGGUGGCGCUGUGGGCUUCUUGAGCUGGGAGCAGAGCGGGAAGGUGAGCAGGAGAGGGCUCUGCGGCGGGGCCGGGCAGCAGUGUUGGUUCCGGAAGCAGCCAUGGGUACCAGGGCAGCAGGUGCUGGACACCCCUGGCACCUGCCCUCAGGGAGCAUUGUGCCCAGGAGCAGAUGCAGAGUCCCAGGAAGGAAAUACCAAUAGAAGUGAUAUCACCACGCUCGUGACAUGGUGACAGAAGGUGCUGACCAGCCAGGAAGUCAGCCCUGCCAUGGGAAAGGUGGGGUGUGGGCCUCAGGGAGAAGCUGACAUUUGAGUAGACCCUUGAAAGGUGAGACUGAGCCAGGCAGGUGGAGGACUGAGCCCGGCCCCUCAGAGAGAGAGACCAGGCCUGGCCGGGGCAAGUGGAGGACUGAGCCCGGCCCCUCAGAGAGAAAGACCAGGCCUGGCCGGGGCAAGUGGAGGAGUGGGGCCGGUCCUUAAGGGUGAAAGACCGGGCCUGGCCAGGACUGAGCCUGUCGGUGCAUCAGGAGCAGUGCACUGCACAGCGAGAUCCGGGCCAGCUGGAAGGGAGGGGGUUUGCAGAGGUGCCGGAGCCAGAUGGAACCCUGUGGUGCCUGGGGAGGAACUUGGAUUUUGGAUUGAGGGGCAGCCGGCACGUGCAGUGGCAGCAGUUUGGGCAAGGAGGUGAUGAACUGAGUUGCUUUUUGUUGAGAACAGUUUUAUUAUGAUAUGAUUCCCAUAGUGUACAAUUUGCCCUUUUAAAGUACACAGUUCAGCGCUUGUAGUCCCAGCUACUCGGGAGGCAGAGGCAGGAGAAUCCCUUGAACCCGGGAGGCGAAGGUUGCAGUGAGCCGAGAUGGUGCGAUUGCCCUCCAGCCUGGGCGAGAAAGCGAGACUCUGUUUCAAUAAAUAAAUAAAUAAUAUACAGUUCA